AACAGGGUAGUGUAGCGGUAUAAGCACUCGCCUACCACCUCAGAGACCCGGGUUCAAACCCCGGCAGUGGUA
rnacentral:tRNA from 1 species